ensembl:lncRNA
GGCGGGUGGUGGUGAAGGUGAGGCCCACUGGCUCAGAGGGGCCCACCAGUCCUGGAGCCUGGGCUGUGGCCCCCACUAGGCUGGACCACCACCUUCCAGAAUGACUGAAAGGGUCCCCAAGGGACUAGCGGCCUCUGCUCCCAGGCAGCCCCAGAAACCUACUCUGGCUUUUUGCCCUGCUGCUGCAGAAUGAUACAGUCAUUGUUCCAGGCAGCCAGCAGGAGCUCGUGAAGAUACCUCGCAACAGCUCUGAGAGGAAGGAAAUUGCUUCUGUUGACAGAUAAGAAACUGAGUUUCAGUGAGGAGAAAUGAUUAUUAGCCCAAGCCCCAGUGUAAGUGAUAAAGCUACAAUUUCAACCUCAGAUGGGCCUCUCAGGCUGCUGUCCCAUACCCUUGGAUCUGUGAAGAAAGAAGCGAGGGCUUCAGUGAUUUGGUCAGCACCUGGGGAGGGGACGCAGUGGUACAGCUGGCAAGUGGUACAACCGUUAAGGAAUGUCUAUGGGAGUGAGCAGUGGACAGAGAAGGAAAGGGAGGUUUGGGUGGGUUAGGGUCUGGGACCUGGGUGCUGGAUGCGAAUCGGUGCCAGAAGCCUGGCCAAGCCCAGCAGGACCUGCCUUGUUUAUUUACCCCUCAGGAACACAGGCUUGUCCGUUCUAGAUUGCCCCCCGCUCCAGCCUCCUACCCUGCACCCAUACACUAGGCAGAGGGCCUGUGACUAAAAACCGGUGGGGCCAUCUGCCCCUCAGAACUGAUUGCCGGCAUGAUAUGGGGGCAAUGGCACCCCAAGCCCUGACUUAGAAGUGAUGUCUCUAUGGGCCUGCUGGUUCACUCAUGAGCAGAGGUGGGUGAGGCUAGGAAGAGAGG